AGAGUUUGAUCCUGGCUCAGGAUGAACGCUGGCGGCGUGCUUAACACAUGCAAGUCGAACGAACCUUCGGGUUAGUGGCGGACGGGUGAGUAACGCGUGAGAAUCUGCCCUCAGGAGGGGGAUAACGGCUGGAAACGGCCGCUAAUACCCCAUAUGCCGAGAGGUGAAAUGAAUUUCGCCUGAGGAUGAGCUCGCGUCUGAUUAGCUAGUUGGUAUGGUAAAGGCCUACCAAGGCGACGAUCAGUAGCUGGUCUGAGAGGAUGAUCAGCCACACUGGGACUGAGACACGGCCCAGACUCCUACGGGAGGCAGCAGUGGGGAAUCUUCCGCAAUGGGCGAAAGCCUGACGGAGCAACGCCGCGUGAGGGAUGAAGGCCUCUGGGCUGUAAACCUCUUUUAUCAAGGAAGAAGAUCUGACGGUACUUGAUGAAUAAGCCACGGCUAAUUCCGUGCCAGCAGCCGCGGUAAUACGGGAGUGGCAAGCGUUAUCCGGAAUUAUUGGGCGUAAAGCGUCCGCAGGCGGUCUUGAAAGUCUGUUGUUAAAGCGUGGAGCUUAACUCCAUUUCAGCAAUGGAAACUACAAGACUAGAGUGUGGUAGGGGCAGAGGGAAUUCCCGGUGUAGCGGUGAAAUGCGUAGAUAUCGGGAAGAACACCAGUGGCGAAGGCGCUCUGCUGGGCCAUAACUGACGCUCAUGGACGAAAGCCAGGGGAGCGAAAGGGAUUAGAUACCCCUGUAGUCCUGGCCGUAAACGAUGAACACUAGGUGUCGGGGGAAUCGACCCCCUCGGUGUCGUAGCCAACGCGUUAAGUGUUCCGCCUGGGGAGUACGCACGCAAGUGUGAAACUCAAAGGAAUUGACGGGGGCCCGCACAAGCGGUGGAGU
rnacentral:rRNA from 1 species